rnacentral:rRNA from 1 species
CCCUCGAUGCAACGAGCUUUUUAUGGCACGCAUGGAAGUGGUCUGGUCGGCCCGGUCUGAACCAUUAUUUUUCACGGUUGACCUCGGAUCAGGUAGGAGUACCCGCUGAACUUAAGCAUAUCAAUAAGCGGAGGAAAAGAAACCAACAGGGAUUACCCUAGUAACGGCGAGUGAAGCGGUAACAGCUCAAAUUUGAAAUCUGGCCUUGACCGGUCCGAGUUGUAAUUUGUAGAGGAUGUUUCGGGCAAGGCUCUGGUUUAAAUUUCUUGGAACAGAAUGUCAUAGAGGGUGAGAGUCCCGUCUAGAACCGGGGGCCGCGUCCAUGUGAAACUCCUUCGACGAGUCGAGUUGUUUGGGAAUGCAGCUCAAAAUGGGUGGUAAAUUUCAUCUAAAGCUAAAUAUUGGCCAGAGACCGAUAGCGCACAAGUAGAGUGAUCGAAAGAUGAAAAGCACUUUGAAAAGAGAGUCAAACAGUACGUGAAAUUGUUGAAAGGGAAGCGCUUGCAAUCAGACUUGUGACCGACGGUUCCCCCGACCCUCGUGGUCGGGCUACUCCGUCGUGUCCAGGCCAACAUCGGUCUGGGUGGCCGGUUAAAGACCCCGGGAAUGUAUCUACCUUCGGGUCGACUUAUAGCCCGGGGUGGAAUGCGGCCCACCCGGACCGAGGAACGCGCUCCGGCUCGGAUGUUGGCGUAAUGGUUGCAAGCGGCC